rnacentral:misc_RNA from 1 species
AAUGAUGCUUCCUACUUCCUU